GAUGAACGCUGGCGGCGUGCCUAAUACAUGCCAGUCGAGCGAACGGACGAGAAGUUUGCUUCUCUGAUGUUAGCGGCGGACGGGUGUGUAACACGUGGAUAACCUACCUUUAGGACUGGGAUAACUUCGGGAAACCGUAGCUUAUCCCGGAUAAUAUUUUGAACCGCAUGGUUCAAAAGUGAAAGACGAUUUUUCUGUCACUUAUAGAUGGUUCCGCGCUGCAUUAGCUAGUUGGUAAGGUAACGGCUUACCAAGGCAACGAUGCAUAGCCGACCUGGGAGGGUGAUCGGCCACACGGGAACUGAGACACGGUCCAGACUCCUACGGGAGGCAGCAGUAGGGAAUCUUCCGCAAUGGGCGAAAGCCUGACGGAGCAACGCCGCGGGGGUGAUGAGGGUCUUCGGAUCGUAAAACUCUGUUAUUAGGGAAGAACAGAUGUGUAAGUAACUGUGCACAUCUUGACGGUACCUAAUCAGAAAGCCACGGCUAACUACGUG
rnacentral:rRNA from 1 species